rnacentral:piRNA from 1 species
UUGUCUAGUGUAGCAUACGUGUUUGCC